CCAGGACAGUUCUACCUGAUCUUG
rnacentral:siRNA from 1 species